GACGAGGUGGCCGAGUGGUUAAGGCGAUGGGUUACUAAUCCAUUGUGCUUUGCGCGCGUGGGUUCGAAACCCAUCCUCCUCG
rnacentral:tRNA from 1 species